UCUCUUUCCUUUUCAAGUCCGCAUAGGAUUUCUGUCUAUCCGAUGUGGCUCUCAAGCAAUCACGAAUCAUCUUAACCUUUUUGACCAUAUUGACCUCGUGAAUCUGAUUCUCUCUCAACUCAGUCCAAUAUAAAUGUGUUAUGUACUUAUGCCCAUAUAAAGCCUUAUAAGGUGUCAUUUUUAGACUUGAUUGAUAACUGAUGUUAUAGGAGAAUUCGACCAAGGUAAAAUACAUUUACCAAAUG
rnacentral:lncRNA from 1 species